CUGGGUGUCUUGAGCGGUGGGGUCACACCCGUUCCCAUCCCGAACACGGAAGUUAAGCCCACCAGCGCCGAUGGUACUUGGGGCCAACCCGCCCCCGGAAGAGUAGGCCGAUGCCCGGA
rnacentral:rRNA from 1 species